rnacentral:rRNA from 1 species
GACGAACGCUGGCGGCGUGCUUAACACAUGCAAGUCGAACGGAAAGGCCCUGCUUUUGUGGGGUGCUCGAGUGGCGAACGGGUGAGUAACACGUGAGUAACCUGCCCUUGACUUUGGGAUAACUUCAGGAAACUGGGGCUAAUACCGGAUAGGAGCUCCUGCUGCAUGGUGGGGGUUGGAAAGUUUCGGCGGUGGGGGAUGGACUCGCGGCUUAUCAGCUUGUUGGUGGGGUAGUGGCUUACCAAGGCUUUGACGGGUAGCCGGCCUGAGAGGGGGACCGGCCACAUUGGGCCUGAGAGACGGCCCAGACUCCUACGGGAGGCAGCAGGGGGGAAUAUUGCACAAUGGGCGGAAGCCUGUUGCAGAAACGCCGCGUGCGGGAUGAAGGCCUUCGGGUUGUAAACCGCUUUCGCCUGUGACGAAGCGGGAGUGACGGUAAUGGGUAAAGAAGCACCGGCUAACUACGUG